UACGUAGAGUGCAAGCGUUGUCCGGAAUUAUUGGGCGUAAAGGGUACGCAGGCGGAUAGUAAAGUCAAGCGUGAAAGGUGUCGGCUUAACCGACAGACUGCGUUUGAAACUGAUUAUCUUGAGUGUAACAGAGGAGAGUGGAAUUCCUAGUGUAGUGGUGAAAUACGUAGAUAUUAGGAAGAACACCAGUGGCGAAGGCGACUCUCUGGGUUAACACUGACGCUGAGGUACGAAAGCUGGGGAGGCAACGGGAAGUUAGAUACCCCUCGUAGUCCCGACGACU
rnacentral:rRNA from 1 species